rnacentral:rRNA from 1 species
AACGAACGCUGGCGGCAUGCCUAACACAUGCAAGUCGAACGAGACCUUCGGGUCUAGUGGCGCACGGGUGCGUAACGCGUGGGAACCUGCCCUUAGGUUCGGAAUAACUCCCCGAAAGGGGUGCUAAUACCGGAUAAUGUCUUCGGACCAAAGAUUUAUCGCCUUUGGAUGGGCCCGCGUUGGAUUAGCUAGUUGGUAGGGUAAAAGCCUACCAAGGCGACGAUCCAUAGCUGGUCUGAGAGGAUGAUCAGCCACACUGGGACUGAGACACGGCCCAGACUCCUACGGGAGGCAGCAGUGUGGAAUAUUGGACAAGGGGCGAAAGCCUGAUCCAGCAAUGCCGCGUGAGUGAUGAAGGCCUUAGGGUUGUAAAGCUCUUUUACCCGGGAUGAUAAUGACAGUACCGGGAGAAUAAGCUCCGGCUAACUCCGUG